rnacentral:rRNA from 1 species
AGUGAACGCUGGCGGUAGGCCUAACACAUGCAAGUCGAACGGCAGCACAGUAAGAGCUUGCUCUUACGGGUGGCGAGUGGCGGACGGGUGAGGAAUACAUCGGAAUCUACUUUUUCGUGGGGGAUAACGUAGGGAAACUUACGCUAAUACCGCAUACGACCUACGGGUGAAAGCAGGGGAUCUUCGGACCCUGCGCGAUUGAAUGAGCCGAUGUCGGAUUAGCUAGUUGGCGGGGUAAAGGCCCACCAAGGCGACGAUCCGUAGCUGGUCUGAGAGGAUGACCAGCCACACUGGAACUGAGACACGGUCCAGACUCCUACGGGAGGCAGCAGUGGGGAAUAUUGGACAAUGGGCGCAAGCCUGAUCCAGCCAUACCGCGUGGGUGAAGAAGGCCUUCGGGUUGUAAAGCCCUUUUGUUGGGAAAGAAAAGCAGCAGGUUAAUACCCCGCUGUUCUGACGGUACCCAAAGAAUAAGCACCGGCUAACUUCGUG